rnacentral:tRNA from 1 species
GGAGCGUUGCCAGAGUGGUUGAUUGGCACUGAUUGGAAAUCAGUUGGUCGGGAAACCGGCACGAAGGUUCGAACCCUUCACGCUCCGCCA